CCCAUCAAAAGCAUAUGAUUCACUAUAAAUAUAGAUAGACAUGUACGAGUGGUUUCAUACUUUCAAUUACCUUGUAAGAUGAAGGCCUUUGCUAAUGUUCUGAUCGUUUUCCUAGUUUUCUCCAUUGGCAUUGGAAAUGAAAGGCUAAUGAAAGUAACAGAGGCAGCCUCAAAUCAGUGUACACAGACACUCCCCAGUUUACGUAUAAGUGUAUUUGGUAACGAGUGCGACGAUAUUUGCAAAAAACGCUAUGGAAGCCUAGCAAGUGGAUCUUGCAAUAAUCACUUAUGUGUUUGUCAGUACCCACCUCCAUGUCACAAUUUGUAGUCCUAUCUUUACAACAUUUUCCCUUUGAAUAAGUAAUGCUCCAAUCAUGGAAAAUGAAAAGGUUAAUAUAUAUAAAUUGAUGAUGAUGUUUCUAUGAAUAUCAAUUUUAUUUACUAUCUUUCUUUUUUC